rnacentral:rRNA from 1 species
CCUACGGGCGGCAGCAGUAGGGAAUAUUGCUCAAUGGGGGAAACCCUGAAGCAGCAACGCCGCGUGGAGGAUGAAGGUUUUCGGAUUGUAAACUCCUUUUGUUAGAGAAGAGAAUGACGGUAUCUAACGAAUAAGCACCGGCUAACUCCGUGCCAGCAGCCGCGGUAAUACGGAGGGCGCAAGCGUUACUCGGAAUCACUGGGCGUAAAGAGCGCGUAGGCGGGAUAGCAAGUCAGAUGUGAAAUCCUCUGGCUUAACCCUAGAACUGCAUUUGAAACUGGUAUUCUAGAGUAUGGGAGAGUUCGGUGGACUUCUUGGUGUAGCGGUCAAAUCCGU